rnacentral:rRNA from 1 species
AUUGAACGCUGGCGGCAGGCCUAACACAUGCAAGUCGAGCGGAUGAAGGGAGCUUGCUCCUGUAUUCAGCGGCGGACGGGUGAGUAAUGCCUAGGAAGCUGCCUGCUUGUGGGGGAUAACGUCCGGAAACGGGCGCUAAUACCGCAUACGUCCUGAUGGUGAGAGUGUGGGAUCUUCGGACCUCACGCUAUCAUAUUAGCCUAGGUCGGAUUAGCGAGUUGGUGGGGUAAAGGCCUACCAAGGAGACGUUCCGUAACUGGUCUGAGAGGAUGAUCAGUCACAAUGGAAGUGAGAAACGGUCCAGAAGACUACGGGAGGAAGCAGUGGGGAAUAUUAGACAACGGGCGAAAGAAUGAUCCAGCAGUGCCGCGUGUGUGAAGAAGGUCGUCGGCUGGUAGAGAACCUCAAGUGGGGAGGAAGGGCAGUAAGUUAAUACCUGGCUGUUUUGACGGUACCUACAUAAUAAGCACCGGCUAACUACGUG